UACGAAGGGGGCUAGCGUUGCUCGGAAUCACUGGGCGUAAAGGGCUCGUAGGCGGCCAACUCAGUCGGACGUGAAAUCCCUCGGCUUAACCGGGGAACUGCGUCCGAUACUGGAUGGCUUGAGUGUGGGAGAGGGAUGCGGAAUUCCAGGUGUAGCGGUGAAAUGCGUAGAUAUCUGGAGGAACACCGGUGGCGAAGGCGGCAUCCUGGACUACUACUGACGCUGAGGAGCGAAAGCCAGGGGAGCAAACGGG
rnacentral:rRNA from 1 species